GAAAAGCUUGCUUUUGCUGACGACCGGCGCACGGGUGCGUAACGCGUAUGCAACCUACCUCAUACUGGAGGAUAGCCCCUGGAAACGGGGAUUAAUACUCCAUAGUAUCACAAUUUCGCAUGUUAUUGUGAUUAAAGUUUUUCGGUAUGAGAUGGGCAUGCGUCCCAUUAGCUUGUUGGUGAGGUAACGGCUCACCAAGGCAACGAUGGGUAGGGGGCCUGAGAGGGUGGUCCCCCACACUGGUACUGAGACACGGACCAGACUCCUACGGGAGGCAGCAGUGAGGAAUAUUGGUCAAUGGAGGAAACUCUGAACCAGCCAUGCCGCGUGAAGGAUGACGGCCCUAUGGGUUGUAAACUUCUUUUAUAGAGGAAGAAACUUGUCUACGUGUAGACAACUGACGGUACUCUACGAAUAAGGAUCGGCUAACUCCGUGCCAGCAGCCGCGGUAAUACGGAGGAUCCAAGCGUUAUCCGGAUUCAUUGGGUUUAAAGGGUCCGUAGGCGGAUUUUUAAGUCAGUGGUGAAAGCCGACAGCUCAACUGUCGAACUGCCAUUGAUACUGGAAAUCUUGAGUACAAAUGAAGUAGGCGGAAUGAGUCAUGUAGCGGUGAAAUGCAUAGAUAUGACUCAGAACACCGAUUGCGAAGGCAGCUUACUAACAUGUAACUGACGCUGAGGGACGAAAGCGUGGGGAGCGAACAGGAUUAGAUACCCUGGUAGUCCACGCCGUAAACGAUCAUCACUCGCUGUUGGCGAUAUACUGUCAGCGGCCAAGCGAAAGUAUUAAGUGAUGCACCUGGGGAGUACGCCGGCAACGGUGAAACUCAAAGGAAUUGACGGGGGCCCGCACAAGCGGUGGAGCAUGUGGUUUAAUUCGAUGAUACGCGAGGAACCUUACCAGGGCUUAAAUGUAGUUUGACCGGCUUGGAAACAGGCCUUCUCUUCGGAGCAGAUUACAAGGUGCUGCAUGGUUGUCGUCAGCUCGUGCCGUGAGGUGUUAGGUUAAGUCCUGCAACGAGCGCAACCCCUAUUCUUAGUUGCCAGC
rnacentral:rRNA from 1 species